CGGGGGCAACCCUGGCGGCGAGCGGCGAACGGGUGAGUAACAUAUCGGAACGUACCCUGUCGUGGGGGAUAACUAUCCGAAAGGAUAGCUAAUACCGCAUACGACCUGAGGGUGAAAGCGGGGGAUCGCAAGACCUCGCGCGAUAGGAGCGGCCGAUAUCGGAUUAGCUAGUUGGUGAGGUAAAGGCUCACCAAGGCGACGAUCCGUAGCUGGUCUGAGAGGACGACCAGCCACACUGGAACUGAGACACGGUCCAGACUCCUACGGGAGGCAGCAGUGAGGAAUUUUGGACAAUGGGGGCAACCCUGAUCCAGCCAUUCCGCGUGAGUGAAGAAGGCCUUCGGGUUGUAAAGCUCUUUCGGCAGGAACGAAACGGUGGCCCCUAAUACGGGUUACUAAUGACGGUACCUGAAGAAGAAGCACCGGCUAACUACGUGCCAGCAGCCGCGGUAAUACGUAGGGUGCGAGCGUUAAUCGGAAUUACUGGGCGUAAAGCGUGCGCAGGCGGUUAUGUAAGACAGGUGUGAAAUCCCCGGGCUUAACCUGGGAACUGCGCUUGUGACUGCAUAACUCGAGUGUGGCAGAGGGGGGUGGAAUUCCACGUGUAGCAGUGAAAUGCGUAGAGAUGUGGAGGAACACCGAUGGCGAAGGCAGCCCCCUGGGUCAACACUGACGCUCAUGCACGAAAGCGUGGGGAGCAAACAGGAUUAGAUACCCUGGUAGUCCACGCCCUAAACGAUGCGAACUAGGUGUUGGGGAAGGAGACUUUCUUAGUACCGCAGCUAACGCGUGA
rnacentral:rRNA from 1 species